UACGAAGGGGGCUAGCGUUGCUCGGAAUCACUGGGCGUAAAGGGUGCGUAGGCGGGUUUUUAAGUCAGGGGGGAAAUCCUGGAGCUCAACUCCAGAACUGCCUUUGAUACUGAAGAUCUUGAGUCCGGGAGAGGUGAGUGGAACUGCGAGUGUAGAGGUGAAAUUCGUAGAUAUUCGCAAGAACACCAGUGGCGAAGGCGGCUCACUGGCCCGGUACUGACGCUGAGGCACGAAAGCGUGGGGAGCAAACGGG
rnacentral:rRNA from 1 species